UACGUAGGUGGCAAGCGUUGUCCGGAAUUAUUGGGCGUAAAGCGCGCGCAGGCGGUUUCUUAAGUCUGAUGUGAAAGCCCACGGCUCAACCGUGGAGGGUCAUUGGGAACUGGGAGACUUGAGUGCAGAAGAGGAGAGUGGAAUUCCACGUGUAGCGGUGAAAUGCGUAGAGAUGUGGAGGAACACCAGUGGUGAAGGCGACUUUCUGGUCUGUAACUGACGCUGAGGCGCGAAAGCGUGGGAGCAAACAGG
rnacentral:misc_RNA from 1 species